GAUGAAGAACGCAGCGAAAUGCGAUAAGUAGUGUGAAUUGCAGAGUUCAGUGAAUCAUCGAAUCUUUGGACGCACAUUGCGCCCGUCAGUAUUCUGACGGGCAUGCCUGUCCGAGCGUCAUUUCAACCCUCAAGCACUGCUUGGCGUUGGCGGAUUGCGUGCCCUCGCGGCGCUGCAACCGCCCAAAUACAGUGGCGGUCCCGCUGCGGCUCCCUUUGCGUAGUAACUCACCUCGCACUGGACCGGGCGGCGGCCUGCCGUAAAACCCCAACUCACGAAAUGUUGACCUCGGAUCAGGUAGGAAUACCCGCUGAACUUAAGCAUAUCAAUAAGCGGAGGA
rnacentral:misc_RNA from 1 species